rnacentral:rRNA from 1 species
UACGUAGGGUGCAAGCGUUGUCCGGAAUUAUUGGGCGUAAAGGGCUCGUAGGCGGUCUGUCACGUCGGGAGUGAAAACUCAGGGCUUAACCCUGAGCCUGCUUCCGAUACGGGCAGACUAGAGGUAUGCAGAGGAGAACGGAAUUCCUGGUGUAGCGGUGAAAUGCGCAGAUAUCAGGAGGAACACCGGUGGCGAAGGCGGUUCUCUGGGCAUUACCUGACGCUGAGGAGCGAAAGUGUGGGGAGCGAACAGG